AGGAUGUCUACAUUACUAUUUUCUUCUCUGUUAAACUUUGUUCAAUUAAUUCAUUGGGUAAACGGAACAGAUGAAGACAGAAGCGGACCUAGCUUAUAAGUUAUGGGUUCACGUAAAUCUUUUGUCAAUACCAUGUAUAUGUAUUAACAAAUCAACUACUUUAAAUAUUUAUAAAUAUUUGACUGUAAAAGCAGUAAUUAUUAUCUAUAUUAACUUGAGGUACUCAUCGUAGGAACCAAUAAACUUCAAAUCCUAGAUAUGUCUUGGACGAAGAAACCCUUGAAGGGAGACCAGACUUACAAGAGGAAUUGAUCAUCAGAGAAUGUUUGGUUCGUAAGAGGGGACAACCAUUUGAGUUAACAAAUUUGAUUUCUCACUGGAGCUAGCAGG